rnacentral:rRNA from 1 species
AUGGCCUCCUUGAGCACAGCCAACUCCACCCUCUCUGGCCAGAUCACCGAACGCCUUACCAGAACCAAUUAUAUCCUAUGGCGUACCCAGAUCACACCGCAGCUUCGAGGGGCUGGAUUCUUCGGCUAUGUGGACGGGAGCAUGCCGGAGCCGGCCAAGGUCGUCGUCAGCAAGGACAAGGAUGGCAAGGAGGAGACCAUCCCCAACCCGAUUCACUCGGUUGGGAUCCGAGAGGAUCAGCAGGUGCUUGGUUACGUUCUGAAUAACCUCUCCAAAGAAGUGCUUGUGCAGGUGACUUCGAUCGCCCACGCACACGAACUCUGGACAGCAUUGGCGGGCAUGUUCUCGUCCACA